GACGAACCGUGCGAACGUUAUUCGGAAUCACUGGGCUUAAAGCGCGUGUAGGCGGCUUGGCACGUCUCUCGCUGAAAUCCCCUGGCUCAACCAGGGAAGUGGCGGGGAUACGACCAAGCUUGAGGGGGGUAGGGGGGACGGGAACUCACGGUGGAGCGGUGAAAUGCGUUGAGAUCGUGAGGAACGCCCGCGGCGAAAGCGCGUCCCUGGACCCCACCUGACGCUGAGACGCGAAAGCCAGGGGAGCGAACGGG
rnacentral:rRNA from 1 species